UUACUGUGAAAAUUUUGAACUAUCUCAGGCUUGCAGAAGCCACUGUUUGCGUAGGUGUUCCAAAAGAGCUUGGUGUUGCCAUUAGGCAAUGUUGAUUUAGAGGCAAUGUACAAAGCAGUGUGUUGACAUGAUAGAAGCAAGGAUGGCUUGCAAGGAUAGAAGGAGUGAAGGAGCACAGCGAAUGGUGUUGGCAAAAAUUACAGCUCUUGGUGCUACAGCUUUAAAUGAGGCACUGGAUAAAUUAACAUCCUGAAUAACUUUGUGACUUGUACUACCACAGUGUGUCUUAUCAAAGAGUCCUUGAAAAUUAUUUGUUUUCUUGUGGAAACCCAAUGGCUUCAGCUUUCCAAGGCUGUAGGAUUACAUCAGUUUCUGCUGCUA